rnacentral:rRNA from 1 species
UACGGGGGGGGCAAGCGUUGUUCGGAAUUACUGGGCGUAAAGGGCUCGUAGGCGGCCAACUAAGUCAUACGUGAAAUCCCUCGGCUUAACCGGGGAACUGCGUCUGAUACUGGAUGGCUUGAGUUCGGGAGAGGGAUGCGGAAUUCCUGGUGUAGAGGUGAAAUUCGUAGAUAUUGGGAAGAACACCGGUGGCGAAGGCGGCUCGCUGGGCCAUUCCUGACGCUGAGACGCGAAAGCUAGGGGAGCGAACAGG